CCCCUCUCAGGGUCAUACUUGGAGAGUUUCCAGUACUCUACCAGUCCUGGCUACAGGAGGGAGAGUCAAGCGGAGGUAUAUCCAUUCCAUUCCUAGCUUGGGCUGUAGUUAGCGAGUGGAAGGCAAUCUGCUACAAGU